CUGCACUCUUCAGCGACCAGCUGGUCUUUCCCUGACCUCCUUGGUCUCAUACCAGUGCAAGAUAAAUUCCUUCUAGCAGAAGAGGCAGGCUCUCAUAGUCUGUCCCUUUCGAAAGCUGGGCACAAAC